GACGAACGCUGGCGGCGUGCUUAACACAUGCAAGUCGAACGAAGUGGCGAACGGGUGAGUAACGCGUAAUCAACCUGCCCUUCCGAGGGGGACACCAGUUGGAAACGACUGCUAAUACCUCAUACUGAAGGAGGGGAUUGCGUCUGAUUAGCUCGUUGGAGGGGUAACGGCCCACAAAGGAGAUGAGCAGUAGCCGGUCUGAGAGAAUGAACGGCCACAUUGGGACUGAGACACGGACCAGACUCCUACGGGAGGCAGCAGUGGGGAGUCUUCCGAAAUGGACGAAAGUCUGACGGAGCAACGCCGCGUGAGUGAUGACGGCCUUCGGGUUGUAAAGCUCUGUUAAUCGGGACGCGGUACCGGAAUAGAAAGCCACGGCUAACUACGUGCCAGCCGCCGCGGUAAUUC
rnacentral:rRNA from 1 species